GCCCCGCCCCGCCCCGCCGCCGCCGCUAACGGCCGCGCCAACGGCCGCGCCGGGGGAGGGGGCGGCUGCGGGCCGCCCCCGCCACCCCCAGCCACGCAGCGAGCAACGGGCGGCGGCAGCGGCGCCACAGCGGGGUGGAGGGGUUUCCCUCCCCCCCCCCCCUUUUCCGAGAUAAAAAUCUCAGGGCAGCGGAGGCCGUAGCCUUGACGAGGCUAUUAAGAUGCUGUCUCUCAUCUGCGCGUGAACACUUGCUCCCGGUGCCAUCUGAUCUCGCACCCGACCUUCACAUUGCAGGGAUGAAUUGCAAAAUAAUUUCCUGGAGUACAGGAAGGGAGAACAGACGAAUGAUGUGCCCUGCUUCACCGAGGAGCUCCUACGCCUUUGGAUCGUCUUCCCAAGUCAGCAGUCCCAAGUGGGCAUGAAGGAUUCCACGUCACCUGUUGGGAAGAAAUUGGUAUCAGUGCAGCAAGUCUUGCGACUCCGAAGUUUGCUAUGCCACAUACUUUUAAAUUAAAAUGAAAGCAAGCCGCUACCUUACAGCUAGGCAAAUUGGCUGUUUGGUGGGCUAGGCUUCACACAGUUGUUCUCAAAUGUCCUCUGUGUCAAAGUAAACAGUGCCGAAGCUUUUUUUUUUUUUUUUUUUUUUUGGUCUUUUUGAAAAACAUUACAACUAUUUCUGGCACUUUCUGAUACAUUUUGGUAUUCGUUUUAGAUUUCAUGUCUGUUUUUUUAAGAGAGCUUCCUGAGUGUGUUGUGUAGUUAGCAACAUACUGAAGAACAAGAAGUUUUGGCUUUGGUAUUACUAAAUUGGUUUGUGUUUGUGGGUGAAACGUGACUUCCCUCAGUGCCUGCGUACCUAUAAGCAUCCUGAUAUUUAGUGCAGAGUUUUGAUAGUAGUAUCACAGCAGGGCCCUUACGGUCUUUGGAUGGAGUGUGCCCUACAGGGACGAUCCAUGGAAAUCAUGGCUUUGGUUUGCUGCGGAUCAUGCCAUCAGUACAAAGUGGCAGUGUUAUUUUAUCACUAACAAAAAUACACAAUUUACUGUAGGUGAGCUUACUCCAGGUGCAAAACAUCUGGAAGGAACAUUAUGUCAUCUGUUCCAUUUUCUGCUAAAGUUCAUAUUUGUCACCAGAUAACCUCACUCAGAUUUGCAGGCAGAGCCACUAGAGCACAUAAAAAUCCUUGGAAAAGGGGAUUCAUUCUGUCGAGAGGAAAAUUCGGCAAUACGGCUUUACAAGUCAUAGAGCAAACCAUAUAAUGACUCAUUAUUUAUCAACAAAGAAACAGCCACAAGCAGGAUGUAGUGGUCUGGGAUAGGCUGAUGUCACAGCAAGGACUGGGAAAACUGCAAAGACAAUUAAAGUAUUAUGACUAUCUUUAACCACAUAAUACAAUCAGACACUUUAUUACUAUUAUUAGUCACUACAAUUCUGUAAUUCUACAACCCACUCCAUCCGUGUAUGAAGUUGUGAAAAAUUUAUGUAGCAGAUCAUUAAUUUUUCUUACAAAUUCUUCUCAUUUAAAUUUUUCUAAGAGAUGUCUAAACUGGGCAAAGUGGUUUUGGAAAAAAAAAAAGACCCCUGAAGUUAUCCCUUGGGGAACAAAAAUACAGUAUUGCCAACACAGUCUAUUCAGAAGAAUGAAUCAGAAGAAUGAACCAGCCUUCUGGAGAAAGAAAGAGAGUGGUUCAAACCGUAAGACUAAAUAAAAAAAUGUGAUAUUCUUUA